rnacentral:rRNA from 1 species
GACCCCACCGAAGCUGGAUUCGCUAGUAAUCGCGCAUCAGCCAUGGCGCGGUGGAAUACGUUCCCGGGCCUUGUACACACCGCCCGUCAAGCCAUGAAAGCCGGGGGCGCCUGAAGUUCGUGACCGUCACAGGAGCGACCUAAGGCAAGACCGAUGACUGGGGCUAAGUCGUAACAAGGUACC